rnacentral:rRNA from 1 species
GGAUUAGAUACCCUGGUAGUCCACGCCCUAAACGAUGUCAACUAGUUGUUGGGCCUUAAUAGGCUUGGUAACGUAGCUAACGCGUGAAGUUGACCGCCUGGGGAGUACGGUCGCAAGAUUAAAACUCAAAGGAAUUGACGGGGACCCGCACAAGCGGUGGAUUAUGUGGAUUAAUUCGAUGCAACGCGAAAAACCUUACCUACCCUUGACAUGUAGCGAAUACUCUAGAGAUAGAGUAGUGCCUUCGGGAACGCUAACACAGGUGCUGCAUGGCUGUCGUCAGCUCGUGCCG